rnacentral:rRNA from 1 species
AGGAGGCAGCAGUGGGGAAUAUUGCUUAAUGGGCGCAAGCCUGAAGCAGCAACGCCGCGUGUGCGAUGAAGGCCUUCGGGUUGUAAAGCACUUUUAGCAGGGAAAAGGAAGGAUGGUACCUGCAGAAUAAGCCUCGGCUAACUACGUGCCAGCAGCCGCGGUAAAACGUAGGAGGCGAGCGUUAUCCGGAUUUACUGGGUGUAAAGCGCGUGCAGGCGGUCGGUCAAGUUGGAUGUGAAAGCUCCCGGCUCAACUGGGAGAGGUCGUUCAAAACUGGUCGACUAGAGAGCAGUAGGGGAAGGUGGAAUUCCGGGUGUAGUGGUGAAAUGCGUAGAUAUCCGGAGGAACACCAGUGGCGAAGGCGGCCUUCUGGACUGCAACUGACGCUCAGACGCGAAAGCUAGGGGAGCAAACGGGAUUAGAUACCCCGGU